rnacentral:rRNA from 1 species
GACGUAGGGCGCGAGCGUUGUCCGGAUUUAUUGGGCGUAAAGAGCGUGUAGGCGGCCAGGUAGGUCUGCUGUGAAAACUCGAGGCUCAACCUCGAGACGUCGGCGGAAACCGUCUGGCUAGAGUCCGGAAGAGGAGAGUGGAAUUCCUGGUGUAGCGGUGAAAUGCGCAGAUAUCAGGAAGAACACCCGUGGCUAAGGCGGCUCUCUGGAACGGUACUGACGCUGAGACGCGAAAGCGUGGGGAGCGAACAGG